UGUGUUUAAGUGUGUGGUGCACAGGAGAUUUUGAUUCUUCUUUUUUUAGUUCGACUCUAUUGAAUACAA
rnacentral:tRNA from 1 species